GGGCAGCGAGGGCGCCGAAGGUACGAGCUGGGGAGACUGGACUGGUGUCUGGAGUGGCGAAAGAAAAUCAGUUUCCGUGCCUCCUAAAGAGAGGAGUAAAAUGAAGUGCCGGGUAGCUCUCGGUGCCUUUCCCUGAACGGGAGUGCGGAGCUGCCGGCAGGCAUCUGGGGCCGGCGGGCUGGUGCACCUGCACUUCGUUUUGCUUUUGCAGGUGAAGACGUUUUCCCCGAGCCGGCCGCGGGGCCUUUGCUUUCUUUUGGAAAUCUCAGAAAUCACGAGAACUCUAGGCGGCUUGACGUUUGCAAACCAACUGAAUAGCGGCAGAAAGUUUUCAUAGGCAGGUCAGCCGGGCCAUUUUGAAGUGUGUCCCAGAGCACAACGUUUAAAAUUAUACGGAGCCCUCAUCCGCUUUACUUUCUGGCUGGUUUGACUGUAACAGGUCUCAGAUAAAGACACUGAGCCAUCAAAGGAAAAACAUUCACCUGAGAUCAUCCCCCAUCGCCCCUCAUGUGAUGGAACGGAGAGUCACAAAACAGAGUAGAAUAACUGAAUACCCGAGACGAUCACCAACAUUUCCAUUAUACGUCUGACAUCUCAGCUAACAGUUGCCGGCCUGGAACUCCUCUCCCCAGAUGCUGCCCUGAAAGAGGACUGUUCCCUGUUCUUCACUCCCACACCCAGAAAGAACAGGAGAUGGAAGAGAGUCGGCCUGGUGUAUUUAGAAGCCCGACUUCCCUGUAUGAUUGGAGGGCCGUGUUCUUGACCAAGACAAAAAAGAGAUGCAGCAAGAAAGAAAAGACAAGGAGAUGAUCUUACAAAUCUACUACAGGCAGGAAAUGUGCUUUGAGUAUUUUGAAGGGUUGGGUUAUUUUUGCAAUUGUAGGGAGAGUUUUCACUGUCACAGCCAUGGUCCGUCACCACGUCCGGGCAGGUGUGAGGCCCUGCCUGUGCCCAUAGGAACCGAGUCACCUUCUCUGGGUAAGGCCGCGUGAUCCUCGUGAGGCUCAGAACGGGGUCCUUCCCUGUCAACACCGUGCUUUACCUAGCAAAGACAACCGGCUUAACUGCUCUGAAAAAUGCUGAAAGAAAGACCUCUUGAAAACAGCCAGAAGGCCCUACCUGUCCAAAAUUUUCCAUUUAGAAAAGCCUCUGCAAUUUUUAGUCCUUCGUAAGAAUACAAAUAAGUCCAGAAGCAAUUGUUCACUUUUUCCUCACCUGGAGUUCCCACCCCACUGUCGCCAACUACAGAAAUUCCAUCCUUAAGACCUAGGCCAGAUGAAGUCCUUAUGAUCUCACCCACGCCGAAAAGAAGAUUCUUGUCAUCUUCCGCUGCCCUCUGGCCCUAUGAGACAAGCCCCUCCGAACACACCUGGCUGUUGUACUCUGUCCCCUAAUUGCCAAGCCUCAGGGUCCCCCUGCUGAACGAGACAGCCAGGCCUGGUGGCUCUGGACCCGGUGGGAAACUCUCUCCUCUCAGGCUUCCGCCGCUGUGCUGCCGUCCUGGAUUCGUUUCUGCUUUUCUCACCAUUCCUUCUCUGUUUUCCUAUU